rnacentral:rRNA from 1 species
CCAACAGGGAUUGCCUCAGUAACGGCGAGUGAAGCGGCAACAGCUCAAAUUUGAAAGCUGGCUCUUUCAGGGCCCGCGUUGUAAUUUGUAGAGGAUGCUUCGGGUGCGGCGCUGGUCUAAGUUCUUUGGAACAAGACGUCAUAGAGGGUGAGAAUCCCGUAUGUGACUGGCUGCCUGUGCCUGUGUGAAGCUCCUUCGACGAGUCGAGUUGUUUGGGAAUGCAGCUCAAAAUGGGUGGUGUACUUCAUCUAAAGCUAAAUAUUGGCCAGAGACCGAUAGCGCACAAGUAGAGUGAUCGAAAGAUGAAAAGCACUUUGGAAAGAGAGUUAAACAGUACGUGAAAUUGUUGAAAGGGAAGCGCUUGCAAUCAGACUUGCGCGGCGUCGAUCAACCUGGGUUCUCCCUGGUGCACUCGGCGCUGCUCAGGCCAGCAUCAGUUUCGGCGGUUGGAUAAAGGCCUAGGGAACGUGGGUUACUUCGGUGACUGUUAUAGCCCUAGGUGCAAUGCAGCCUGCUGGGACUGAGGACCGCGCUUCGGCUAGGAUGCUGGCGUAAUGGUUGUAAGCGACCCGUCUUGAAACACGGACCAAGGAGUCUAACAUCUAUGCGAGUUUUUGGGUGUCAAACCCAUAAGCGUAAUGAAAGUGAACGGAGGUGAGAACCCUUAAGGGUGCAUCAUCGACCGAUCCUGAUGUCUUCGGAUGGAUUUGAGUAAGAGCAUAGCUGUUGGGACCCGAAAGAUGAUGAUCUAUACCUGAAUAGGGUGAAGCCAGAGGAAACUCUGGUGGAGGCUCGCAGCGGUUCUGACGUGCAAAUCGAUCGUCAAAUUUGGGUAUAGGGGCGAAAGACUAAUCGAAUCAUCUAGUAGCUGGUUCACGCCGAAGUUUCCCUCAGGAAA